UUUAAGGCGAAUAAAACAGUAAUUCUUACUUGAAAUAUUCAAGUAGCUACAACAAAACCGAUGACAUUACUUCACCAGUGAGAGGCAGCAGUGCGGUAAUGUGUUGCUAAUGCGCAACAAAACAACAGAAGAAGAAAUAAGGACGGUUAGAGAGCAUGCGCAGCAAGCGAUGUUUUGAAUUUCUGCUCGAAUUUGCUUAAACUAGGAAGAAGUAGAGAGACUGCUUGCAUUUUACCUCUGGACAAAGACUGAAUACUUCUGCAGAAUAAUAAUAAGGAAAAAAGCUUGUGGCAACUGUCUUCUCUGAACAGCGAUCUUGUGAACAUGGGCCUCAGUACAAUAAAGAGGACACUUCACACCCUACAACCCGUAAAAAUAACCCAUGUUUGACAGAACUACACACCCAUCUGAGGCCUACUGUACCUGUUUUACUUCAUGAUCACCCCAGAUACUUCUACAGUUGACCCGCUUUGUGUCUGAUGUUGAUGCAGUCUGGGCACUAGUAUCUGCUGGCUUGCUGACUAUCACUGAAGAUGAAGUACUUCUCCAGAUCUUCUCUGUCUUGACCCUGUGUCUUCUGCCAUCAUUGUUCAGUGUAGUACUGCAAAGAACAGUCUCCAGGGUCUACCUCCAACAUUUGCUUCCGGACCGCCAUGUGCUACGUUUGGAUUACUGGUACAUGUGGAUUACCCUGAUACUGUGAAGAACACUUACAAUAUGAUGCUUGACUUGGGACAGAAAAAAAAAAAAAACAUUGGCAACUUGUGUGGCCAACUCAUUGCCAUACUUAAUCUCAUCGUACUGCUACCUUUGCUGUUUAGCAUAAACAAAAGCAGACUGUUUUUGCUUUGUUUCAAAAUGUUUGUAAUACAAGUUAAAACAUAUAUUAUCUUUAACUUUGAACUGUCACUACUUUUGAUUUAUGGGUAAUUAUGUGUGUGAAGAAUAGAACAUUGUUGUCAUGAAUUUGUAAUGGAUGUUUGAACCAUUUAAGUUACUGGAGUAAUGGUAACUUGUUUUUUUUUAAGGCAACUGGUUAAAACUAGAUUGCUGUUCAAGUAAAUACAACUUAGAAAUUCCAAGUUGCAGGAAAUGUUACUUGAUUUAGCUAAACUUAAAUGAGUUGUUUGAAAUACGCACAGUAUAUUUUACUUAAUCAUUUAGUUGUUGAAAAUAGUGAUUCUUAGUUACAAGAACUUGCAUGUAAGUUUACAACACUAAAUAAACCUUUGUUAGUACAAAUUACUAUUCUUAUUUCACUUUACUUGUUUUUUUCAAGGCAGUUGGUUUGCAUGCUUUUUUUUAAGUAAGGUUUCCUAAUUAGAAUUUACAGUGCAGACAACUUCCCUGCCCAGUGAACACUAGUGAGAUCAAUUCAGAACACUGUAACUGUAAUAAAGUGAUGUUACUAUAGUUA